CCUGUAAUGACUAUAAGAGCGAACGAGCGAGCCAAGAAACGGGAUGAUCUGGGUCCAAGAAAGCCGCGUGGCUAUCAACGGCAUUCCACGUAAGACAAAUAUUCUCGAAUGCCCGUAUAAAAGUAUUAUUAUUCCGUCUCGUGUCAGGUAUACUAUACACACCGUGUUCCGAGGUGACUUCUAUAAACUACCGAGACGCAGCGAACGUACUAUGAGAAAAUUUUUAUAUCCGAGUAAAAGUGCCUAUUUAUUAAUUAUAAUCUUCGUAACGAUCCGGCAACACGCAUGCACGUCCUGCACUCGCUAUACUCACUCUUAGUAUACGUUUUCUUUGCGGCACCACGGGCAUCACCUCCGAUCAGCGGCAGCUCCGGGCGGGGAAAGAACAUCAAAUAAAUUAUCUACAUUUUCAUCAACCUCCGACUCACCGCCUCUUUUUAAUGCCUGUAUCCUUGUCAAGGUCAAACCCGUGCGGUUGGAGUAGAUACAAGACUUUCCCACACCCAGUCGUAAACCCACGAAUACAUUCGUUG
rnacentral:misc_RNA from 1 species